rnacentral:rRNA from 1 species
AGUGAACGCUGGCGGUAGGCCUAACACAUGCAAGUCGAACGGCAGCACAGUAAGAGCUUGCUCUUACGGGUGGCGAGUGGCGGACGGGUGAGGAAUACAUCGGAAUCUACUUUUUCGUGGGGGAUAACGUAGGGAAACUUACGCUAAUACCGCAUACGACCUACGGGUGAAAGCAGGGGAUCUUCGGACCUUUCGCGAUUGAAUGAGCCGAUGUCGGAUUAGCUAGUUGGCGGGGUAAAGGCCCACCAAGGCGACGAUCCGUAGCUGGUCUGAGAGGAUGAUCACCCACACUGGAACUGGGACACGGUCCAGACUCCUACGGGAGGCAGCAGUGGGGAAUAUUGGACAAUGGGCGCAAGCCUGAUCCAGCCAUACCGCGUGGGUGAAGAAGGCCUUCGGGUUGUAAAGCCCUUUUGUUGGGAAAGAAAAGCAGCAGGUUAAUACCCCGCUGUUCUGACGGUACCCAAAGAAUAAGCACCGGCUAACUUCGUG